AUCAUUAUGUAGUGGUUUCUCAGAGACUUGAAUGAAGGGCAUCUGGAUCCAGAGUGCCAGCUCUUAACCACCAUGUUAUGCUGAGUCUUCUAUUUGAGCAAUGGAAUAAACUGUUCUCUGCAAUGACUACACUCACAUUUGUUGGAGCUAUGUGUGUUCAUUGACUGGAGCCAACUGUUGUGAAAUGGGUUGAAUUCUUGAUUUGAUUCUUGGCUUGAAGUCUGCAUAGCCAAAGCAAGACUAAGCAAAAAGAACAAAUCUGGAGGUAUCACAUUACCCAACUUCAAACUACUACAAGGCUGUAGCUACUGAAACAGGAUGGCAAAGGCAUAAAAACAGACAUGUGGACCAAUGGAACAGAAUCCAGAUUCCAGAAAUAAAGCCAAAUACUUAUUGCCAACUGAUCUUUGACAAAGCAAACAAAAACAUAAAGUGGAGAAAGGACACCCUAUUCAACCAGUGGUGCUGGGAUAAUUGACAAGUCACU
rnacentral:lncRNA from 1 species